AGUGAACGCUGGCGGCGUGCUUAACACAUGCAAGUCGAACGGAUCAAAGUAGCUUGCUAUUUUGGUUAGUGGCGCACGGGUGAGUAAUGUAUAGCUAACCUGCCCUUUAGUGGGGGACAACAGUUGGAAACGACUGCUAAUACCCCAUACUCCUUCUUGCCAUAAGGUGAGUUGGGAAAGAUUUAUUGCUAAAGGAUGGGGCUUUAUGGUAUCAGCUAGUUGGUGAGGUAAUGGCUCACCAAGGCUAUGACGCCUACCUGGUCUGAGAGGAUGAUCAGGCACACUGGAACUGAGACACGGUCCAGACUCCUACGGGAGGCAGCAGUGGGGAAUAUUGCACAAUGGAGGAAACUCUGAUGCAGCAACGCCGCGUGGAGGAUGACGCAUUUCGGUGUGUAAACUCCUUUUAUAAGGGAAGAUAAUGACGGUACCUUAUGAAUAAGCACCGGCUAACUCCGUG
rnacentral:rRNA from 1 species